rnacentral:rRNA from 1 species
CCUACGGGAGACAGCAGUGAGGAAUAUUGGUCAAUGGUCGGGAGACUGAACCAGCCAAGCCGCGUGAGGGAGGAAGGUACAGAGUAUCGUAAACCUCUUUUGUCAGGGAACAAAGGCGGGGACGUGUCCCCGGCUGAGUGUACCUGAAGAAAAAGCAUCGGCUAACUCCGUGCCAGCAGCCGCGGUAAUACGGAGGAUGCGAGCGUUAUCCGGAUUUAUUGGGUUUAAAGGGUGCGCAGGCGGUCUGUUAAGUCAGCGGUCAAAGCCCGGGGCUCAACCCCGGCCCGCCGUUGAAACUGGCAGUCUCGAGUUGGAGAGAGGUAUGCGGAAUGCGCGGUGUAGCGGUGAAAUGCAUAGAUAUCGCGCAGAACUCCGAUUGCGAAGGCAGCAUGCCGGCUCCACACUGACGCUGAGGCACGAAAGCGUGGGUAUCGAACAGGAUUAGAUACCCUUGUAGUC